rnacentral:tRNA from 1 species
GCAGGAGUGGCGGAACUGGCAGACGCACCAGACUCAAAAUCUGGCGGAUCUUUGAUCCUUGAGGGUUCAAUUCCCUCCUCCUGCACCA